rnacentral:rRNA from 1 species
UACAGAGGGGGCAAGCGUUGUUCGGAAUUACUGGGCGUAAAGGCGCGUAGGCGGCCGGUUAAGUCGAACGUGAAAUCCCCGGGCUCAACCCGGGAACUGCGUCCGAUACUGGCAGGCUUGAAUCCGGGAGAGGGAUGCGGAAUUCCAGGUGUAGCGGUGAAAUGCGUAGAUAUCUGGAGAACACCGGUGGCGAAGGCGGGUCUCUGGCCGAUACUGACGCUGAGGAGCGAAGCGUGGGGAGCGAACAGG